rnacentral:misc_RNA from 1 species
AGGGCAGCUAGUUAUUCCCUGUGACAACACAAUUUGCUUUACAUGUUAUAAUAAAGAUAUUACUAAUCACAAAUCAAAGGAUAAAAAUUAUCUUCCUUCAAAAUUAUGAAUGAAACAAAACAUGAAAGGUUUAUGAAUGAAACAAAACAAGAAAGAUACAAUUGCAAGCUCGCUGUGACAAAUAGGAUUCUGCACUAGACCAUUUAUGAGAUCCAAGCAAUGAGAGAAGGAUCACAUAAAUACUUAGGAUUGGUUUAGAUCAAAAAGCCUUAAAAAUUUCAAUGAUGUAAAAAUCAUCAUCAGAUACUGACUUUGUUAUUUGUUCAGUUUCAAAAUGUGCCUUACCAGGAAAACCCUUUGUCCAACCAUUGUUCCUGUAAAAGCAUCUCAUGCAUUUAGUUUAAGAAAUGCCUUUAUGACGCCCAUCAUUUCUCCUCCAGGAAACCGUCCAAGACAUCCCCUUGCUGCUGCUAUCUCGCUAAAUUCACAAACUGAAUCACCACUGAAAGAUUUAAGCUGUUUGCUAAUUCUAUCCUUUUCCAUCUUAUCUUCAUCUAGGUCUUCACCGGCCUUAUUGAUUGGAAGAGGAAAUGGUUGAAGGGAAGUUGCCACAACAAUGGGCUCUCCACCCAUGGCACCCACAAAGUCUUUUAACCGGCAGAUGGCAAAUGGAACUGGUUCGAAACUAUGGUCUCCAUAUUCAACAGGAGUAGAGUGAUCUCCAGUGACACAAAGGAAAUACUGGAACUUUUCAGUUGAUUCUGCCUGCCAAAGAAGUUUGGUCAGCUGGCCUAAAGCUUGAUCUACUGCUUCCAAUGCCUUGACUUUUAAAAGGCUCGCCUUAUCAUGACCUGCAUCAUCUAUUGCCUGAAUACAAAAACAAGGAAAUUCAUUGUCAUACUGACAUUGAGAACUUCAAACAACCCAAAAAGGGUGAAAGGAAGGAGAACAAAAUAACCAAGAAAAAAAAAAUGGAGAAUCCAAAAAUUCAAAUGAUUUUGAGCCAACAAAUUAGCCUCGUAAAAGAAUAUAGUAAGAUGUGUCAAACAACAUGCUGGACAGUCAACUCUCAUGGUCAAAUCUUAAUCAUUGAUGAUACAAGAAGAAAAAUAGAGAACUUAAAAGUCAUUCAGGUGACCUUCAAUGCAAGCUGGUUCCCCUAGUAUUUUUGUGUUUGCUGUAAUAAUUAUGGAAAAUUUUGUGAAAAAGAAAACAAAGAUGAAAAGGGUAAAAUAAAUAAGUUAAAAGUCAUUUUUGUAUAGAAGGCCACAUUGUGGAGUGAUGCUUGUGGUUGUGGAAAUACUAGAAACAUAAAUGUCUAUCAAUGCUCAGAUAUUAACACCUUAAUGUGGAAAAACCCAAAGUCGUAACCAUCUGGUUUGCCAGGUUUGUGCUCAUCCUCUCCAGGCACAAAAACACUGGGAGAAGACUGCAAUGGAGCAGAGAGUGCCUUAGCUAUGGCAGUCACUUUUGAAGUCAAAAGAGUUCGAUAAUCUCCAGUUGCCCCUGGAGCUUCUAGAAUGUCAAUAUCAAGUGAUAGGCCUAAACCAGCUAUGAUUUUAGUAGGAGCUACCAUGCAUGGCCAUAACCCAUGUUUCUUUUCAAAUGAUGGAACCUGUACAAUAAUGAGAAAAUCUUUCAAUUAUGCAAAUCACUUAAAUUCUCAAGCAUAUAAAUCUGUACAAAUUAGCUUGUCCCAUACUGUGCAACACUUACAUCAUGAAUCCCAUGUGUUUCCCCAGAGUCCCUCAAAUAAUGAUAUACAAGGACUAUCACAAUAUAUAGCAAAUUUGCAUCCUCAAUUAUUUGCAUAUCAGAAUUAACAAAUUUGAGCAAUAAACAAUAGCCUAGUGCAUCUCACUGCCAAGAUUGUUCCUUAAUGUUCCCAGCUACUAGUUAUCAAUUACCUUAAAGUUUUGUCAAAAUGCAAAAUUGUAACACAAGCAGUCAUAGUUCAAACAUAAAAGACAAACAACCCAAGCCCAGAAAUUCAUGAUUACAUUUUUCAUUUUGGCUUCAUUAUCAUGCACCUUUUUUUUAUAAUAAUUAUCAUGGACUUUAAAAGUUCUAAUAAUGGAUCACAAAUCAAGAGUCAUUAUAGGCCAAGAAAAUAAAUUAGGAUUGGUGGUUGAUACUCUCCCCCCCACAAAAGAAGGAGAAAGUACAACAACUAAUAAUUCAAAAAUAGUUUUGAGAGCCAGAUAAGAAAUAUUCCAAGAAGUAAAAGUUUAAAAUUUUCUUUCCACAAGCAUACCCAUUACUUUCCCAGGAAACAUAAAACAAUAAGAUGUUGAUGGAUAAGAAAAAACACACUUCAAUUCGAAUACCACAUCCUCGUAAAAGGACAACAUUGGCCAUUUUCUUCCCUUCUGCCGAUCGUUUUGCAUUCAACGGGUGAGAGACCAGAAUUCGUGACAUCUCCCUGGACAAUUCAUUGACAACUGCAGCUGUAUGAAUUGCUUCAUCAGUAUCGUCUAAGGCUUCAGCUUGCAGAAGUAAGCGGUUGUCCUUCAAUGGGUCCGUUCCUGAUAUAUUACCACUCAAUCUUGGUCCUUUCACGACCACUCCACAUCUAUGCUCUGUUGCAUACCUGUAGGGAGUGAUUUCUCAUUAUUUUUUCUCUCUUAUGUUUGAAAUAAGAAGCCUUGAACUCCAAUCAAAGGACCUCAAUAUUUCCUAUUUUGAUUUCAAAUAGUUUACACAGUUUUUCACACUUGAAACCAUAGAGAUAGAGAAAAAGAGACACUCUGGCCUUACUUCUCAAGCUUACUGAGUCAGGCAAUUAUUUUUGUCCAUUCUUUUUUCAUUUUCCAAUUAUUUUGGGCUAUCAAGUUGUGAACCAUGACCCACCACCCAUUGCGUUAUAUGCAACCAUGAACCCUAGCUCAUCCUGUCAAUUUGGGAAGGAUACCACAAAGAUGGGAACUUAAAAGUUCAAAAGAAAUAUUAAACAAAAGAGGCAUGCAUAUUCCUAGAUCAAUCAAGAAGCAAGAAUAGCACAAUAAAAUAUCUGCAGACCUGACUCUGACUUCAUAUUCAGGGUAAGAUGGCAACUUCAUUCUAUCCAAAGCAGCACAGAGAAUAGGCCCUUCUUCUUCAAAGUGCCUGUCAGCUCUUCUACGGGUGACUAUUCCAGUUUUCUCAUCAAAUGUUGCAAAAUUUGACUUGAAUGCAAUAUCACCAGGUGACAUGGCCAAUCCAGCACCCAUUGACUCAAAUGCACCUCGACCCUUAUAAUAUACUCGUGGGUCAUAACCCAAUAAUGAAAGGUGAGCAGUAUCACUUCCACAAGCCAAACCUACUUCAACAGGGUCCAUAAGGCCAUUAACUCCUGCAGAUGCAAUAGCAUCCAGGUUUGGAACAUUGGCUGUUUGCAGAGGGGUCUUGUAUCCAAACCUUGGCAAGGAUACAUCACCCAAACCAUCAAUCAGCACAAAUGCCACUCUCCUCCUUGGUUGUUUGGGACUUCCCAUGCUUCUAUACCUUUGUUAUCCAAAAUGAAAAAGAAAUGGAAGUGUUAAGAAUAGGCUAGCUCACAGCAAUGAUUUUACCAGCGGACUCAAACGAAAAACCCACAAUAAGCCAAGGAAAAAAGAAAAGAAAUUAAAUGCUGUAACAAAAUAGUUCUUUUGAUAAUCAAGAGAUUUUCAAUUCACGGUUCUUGAAUUAGACAAUUAAAGGUAGAAAUGGCACAAAAUCGAUGAUUAAACUGCAGAAAUUGAAAUUAGAAACUCAAGGCAGCAACUUUGAUGAGUAAUUGAGUAAACAUAAAUAGGGGUGAACACACAGCAGUAUGCCAAUUAUCUUUCAAAAAUAAAUAAAUAAAUAAAUAAAUAAAUUAUCUUUUUGCUGUAAUAUCAUUAGAAUGAUAACUAAUUUUAUUUUUGAGAUUAUGU